rnacentral:rRNA from 1 species
UCCGAACGUGGCAAGCGUUGUUCGGAUUCACUGGGCGUACAGGGAGCGUAGGCGGUUGGGUAAGCCCUCCGUGAAAUCUCCGGGCCCAACCCGGAAAGUGCAGAGGGGACUGCUCAGCUAGAGGACGGGAGGGGAGCGCGGAAUUCCCGGUGUAGCGGUGAAAUGCGUAGAGAUCGGGAGGAAGGCCGGUGGCGAAGGCGGCGCUCUGGAACGUUUCUGACGCUGAGGCUCGAAAGCGUGGGGAGCAAACAGG